rnacentral:pre_miRNA from 1 species
UCCAACCGUUUUCAUCCCUAAUUUAUGUGCCAACGUUUGACUGUUCGUCUUAUUUAAGAAAAAUUAUUGUUAGUAUUUUUUUAUUAUUAGAUGAUAAAACAUGAAUAAUACUUUAUACGUGAAAAUUUCAUAAAUAUUUCAAAUAAGAUAAACGGUUAAAGUUGGACAUAGAAACCAGCCGCUGCAUUUAAA